rnacentral:rRNA from 1 species
AGCGAACGCUGGCGGCAGGCCUAACACAUGCAAGUCGAACGAACCCUUCGGGGUUAGUGGCGGACGGGUGAGUAACACGUGGGAACGUGCCUUUAGGUUCGGAAUAACUCAGGGAAACUUGUGCUAAUACCGAAUGUGCCCUUCGGGGGAAAGAUUUAUCGCCUUUAGAGCGGCCCGCGUCUGAUUAGCUAGUUGGUGAGGUAAUGGCUCGCCAAGGCUACGAUCAGUAGCUGGUCUGAGAGGAUGACCAGCCACAUUGGGACUGAGACACGGCCCAAACUCCUACGGGAGGCAGCAGUGGGGAAUCUUGCGCAAUGGGCGAAAGCCUGACGCAGCCAUGCCGCGUGGAUGAUGAAGGUCUUAGGAUUGUAAAAUCCUUUCACCGGUGAAGAUAAUGACUGUAGCCGGAGAAGAAGCCCCGGCUAACUUCGUGCCAGCCGCCGCGUAAAAC